CGGCGCGGUGUGCCGACGUGACGGCGGGCUGGUGAGCGCGCCGUGCGGACGCGUCGGCAGAGGAAUCUGUUGCUGAAACCCACCGCUAACUGCGCGCGUUUCGAGUCCGUGCAGAGCUCUCAAGGCCCGUCCUCCGUAACGGUGUAAAACGGCAAACCCGCCCAAGUGAACUGGGGGCUUCCGCGCGCUUCGUUGCGCGCGGCUCCCUCUGCAGGCUCCUCUGCUCCCGCGGGCAGCCCCUUGUGACGGCUCCAUUUGGCAGCGCCACGGACUUCCCCGUCCCUGGUUUUCCAGGUGGAAUCGGGCAGCCAGCGCUCAGGCCUAUGCUCCACUGCUGGUAAUGGCUGCCCCAAGAGGUCAAAGGAAGCUCGCCCUUUCCUUAAUGGCUGAGAUCAUCCUGCUGAGAAAAAGAAGCUCCUUCAACGCGAAGCUGAAUUUAUCCAGACAGCAGGUCAGAAAAUAUCCAGAGAUGCCCAGAUCUACACCUCAUCUUAAUUUAUCAAUCAUCUAUCUCCUGUCCCAAGCAAGUAAGCAGCUGCCCAGUGUCAAGAGCUGCGUGGGUGUCAGUGGUGGCAUACGACUUGGCAGCUUUCAGCUGCCCUGUCAACCCUCUUCUGACUUUGUGAAUGAGAAAAGCCAAGCAAGGUUUGACCUUCCCCAAUUAAAAAGGAUGAAUUAGCUUCUGUGAUCCUCUGAGACAGCUCAACGGCUCAUGUCAGCAUUAAAGUUGAGCCCUCUGACCAACAACUGAUCUCUACAAAAGAAAGGAAUAAACUAAUUGCAAGGUC